GUGGGGAAUUUUGGACAAUGGGCGCAAGCCUGAUCCAGCAAUGCCGCGUGCAGGAAGAAGGCCUUCGGGUUGUAAACUGCUUUUGUACGGAACGAAACGGUCCUGGUUAAUACCUGGGGCUAAUGACGGUACCGUAAGAAUAAGCACCGGCUAACUACGUGCCAGCAGCCGCGGUGAUACGUAGGGUGCGAGCGUUAAUCGGAAUUACUGGGCGUAAAGCGUGCGCAGGCGGUGCUGUAAGACAGGCGUGAAAUCCCCGGGCUCAACCUGGGAAUUGCGCUUGUGACUGCAGUGCUGGAGUACGGCAGAGGGGGAUGGAAUUCCGCGUGUAGCAGUGAAAUGCGUAGAUAUGCGGAGGAACACCGAUGGCGAAGGCAGUCCCCUGGGCCUGUACUGACGCUCAUGCACGAAAGCGUGGGGAGCAAACAGGAUUAGAUACCCUGGUAGUCC
rnacentral:rRNA from 1 species